CUCAGAUUGAACGCUGGCGGCAGGCCUAACACAUGCAAGUCGAGCGGUAGCACAGAGAGCUUGCUCUCGGGUGACGAGCGGCGGACGGGUGAGUAAUGUCUGGGAAACUGCCUGAUGGAGGGGGAUAACUACUGGAAACGGUAGCUAAUACCGCAUAACGUCGCAAGACCAAAGUGGGGGACCUUCGGGCCUCAUGCCAUCAGAUGUGCCCAGAUGGGAUUAGCUGGUAGGUGGGGUAACGGCUCACCUAGGCGACGAUCCCUAGCUGGUCUGAGAGGAUGACCAGCCACACUGGAACUGAGACACGGUCCAGACUCCUACGGGAGGCAGCAGUGGGGAAUAUUGCACAAUGGGCGCAAGCCUGAUGCAGCCAUGCCGCGUGUGUGAAGAAGGCCUUCGGGUUGUAAAGCACUUUCAGCGGGGAGGAAGGCGGUGAGGUUAAUAACCUCAUCGAUUGACGUUACCCGCAGAAGAAGCACCGGCUAACUCCGUGCCAGCAGCCGCGGUAAUACGGAGGGUGCAAGCGUUAAUCGGAAUUACUGGGCGUAAAGCGCACGCAGGCGGUCUGUCAAGUCGGAUGUGAAAUCCCCGGGCUCAACCUGGGAACUGCAUUCGAAACUGGCAGGCUAGAGUCUUGUAGAGGGGGGUAGAAUUCCAGGUGUAGCGGUGAAAUGCGUAGAGAUCUGGAGGAAUACCGGUGGCGAAGGCGGCCCCCUGGACAAAGACUGACGCUCAGGUGCGAAAGCGUGGGGAGCAAACAGGAUUAGAUACCCUGGUAGUCCACGCUGUAAACGAUGUCGAUUUGGAGGUUGUGCCCUUGAGGCGUGGCUUCCGGAGCUAACGCGUUAAAUCGACCGCCUGGGGAGUACGGCCGCAAGGUUAAAACUCAAAUGAAUUGACGGGGGCCCGCACAAGCGGUGGAGCAUGUGGUUUAAUUCGAUGCAACGCGAAGAACCUUACCUGGUCUUGACAUCCACAGAACUUUCCAGAGAUGGAUUGGUGCCUUCGGGAACUGUGAGACAGGUGCUGCAUGGCUGUCGUCAGCUCGUGUUGUGAAAUGUUGGGUUAAGUCCCGCAACGAGCGCAACCCUUAUCCUUUGUUGCCAGCGGUUAGGCCGGGAACUCAAAGGAGACUGCCAGUGAUAAACUGGAGGAAGGUGGGGAUGACGUCAAGUCAUCAUGGCCCUUACGACCAGGGCUACACACGUGCUACAAUGGCAUAUACAAAGAGAAGCGACCUCGCGAGAGCAAGCGGACCUCAUAAAGUAUGUCGUAGUCCGGAUUGGAGUCUGCAACUCGACUCCAUGAAGUCGGAAUCGCUAGUAAUCGUAGAUCAGAAUGCUACGGUGAAUA
rnacentral:rRNA from 1 species